UGAAAGACAUGGGUAGUGAGACGUUACAUUGAGUCGUAUCACUAUUCUGUUUUUC
rnacentral:pre_miRNA from 14 species